UAUAACUAAACCAGCGGCACCCCGCCCCGUCUCUUUCGCUGAGGAGUAGUAGGACAGUGGUUGAGCCUUUCUUGGUACACUUACGCAGGCCCCCUCGGUCAUAGUGCUCCAGCACCACCACCCAUCUUCACACGUAAACCCUUUAUUGCACGUACUUAAAGCAGUAAUGGCGGGCAAGAAGGCGCACCCCAUCAAGCGUGAUUGGUAUUGGAACCACAAUGACCGCUUCGAGAUUUGGCACAGCCUUGACUGGCCCUCGGUCCGCCGCGGCCGCCAGAUCUACACAGAGGUAUUCGCGCCGUGUCACUCACUGGGCCGCAUGACCUUCACCCACUUCCAGGGUUUCAUGACCCGCGAGGAGAUCAAGCAGCUGGCCUCCCAGUACGAGAUGAUCGACAGCGAGCCGGAUGCAGAGGGCAACCUGAACCGCCGCCCCGGCAAGCCGACGGACACCCUACCCACCCCUUACCCGAACCAGCGCGCCGCGCAGUUCGCCAACAACGGUGCUGAGCCCCCGGAUUUGCAGCACGCCGUCUUCGGCAAGGAGGGUGGCUCGGACUACAUCUUCUCCCUGGUGACCGGCUACAAUUGGGGCAACGGUGAGCUGAUGGAGAUUCCACCGUUCGCGCCUGAGCUGAAGCCCGGCCAGUUCUGGAACCCCUACUUCAAGGGAUGCGUGCUCUCCAUGCCGCCGCCACUCUCGGAUGGCCUGGUGGACUACGAAGAUGGCACCCCUGCCACUAUCAGCCAGAUGGCCAAGGACGUCGUGAACUUCCUGCGCUGGUCCGCCGAGUCUGAGUACGAUGACCGCCGUGUAGCCUUUUGGAAAGUGAUCACCACCGUAGGGCUGGUCAACUGCCUGCUCCUACACUACGGCCAGAAGAACACAAACUGGCGUAUCUACGGCCGCACUACGUUCCGCUAUUGGAAGAAGGCAUGGUAGGCUUUUCAUUACCAGUCGAGGAUGUGAUGCUGACGCGUGCGCGAUGGCCACCCUCGCGACCCCCUCUAUGAAACCUCCACAGCGCACUCCUCUGCCGCUGCCGUGCGCGUCGCCCUCUUCUUCUCCUUCGCUCCUCUCGUGUUGGCUGGUUUCAUUUUUUUCUGUAUCUUGCCUCUUAGGAACUUAAGCAUAGCCCCUUACACAAUGUACACAUGUUCGUCUGUGUGUGCGUGUGUCGGUGAUGUUGUCGUUGUCGCUGUUUUUCUCUACAUUUCUUUCUUUAGCCUCCUGAGGGGAUGAGUGGAAGGGAGUUGUAAGCGGUGUCCGUUGUUGUCGCUGUGGGAUCGAAGUGGUCCGUUACUCUUCUCUCUCUCUUCGGCUCACCCCGUCUCAACGCCUUCUCCUUCCUCUGUCCCACAAGCUGUAGUAGCACUGACUUCAAGACAACCUAAAAGAAAAAGGGGAAUAGCAAGACAUUAGUCACAGCCCCCUCCCCCUUCCUUACUCUUGCCAGUCUGUAACGACGGGAAGGCGACCUGCAAAGUAGCGAGAGAGAGCGAAAGGGAGGGAUGCACCCGGGGCAACAGGCGCACUGGAGCACGUUGAAAGCAUGCCAGUGCACCCCCACCCUCCGCCCUGCUCGCUUGCUCCCUCUCCUUGGUGGUGUCUCUCUACGGAUAUCCUCAUGUUUGUAUUUAUGCCUGUUUGGCCAGUUGGGGUGAUAUGAUGUGUAGCUGCAGUUGGCUCCCGCGUGCAUUCUGGCCUGUUGCACAAUGCAAUGGAGAGGAGAGCAGCACCGUGGCUCGGUGAGACAAUGCCACUGCUCGUGGUCCACCUUCCUCCCCUCCAUCUUCCCUUUUCUGGAGCUGUGAGGUACAGCCAAUGCGCUUUGGACGCGCUUCCUCCCCUUCCCUGCUCUUCCGCGUCUUUCUUCUGUAUCGCUUUGUGUGUCGCUCCGUCCACUCUCACCACACCACACCACACCUCUGUCUUUUUCGCCUCCCAUCCCGGCGGCCACCGCAUGUGAGCUCUUGACACACGCACGCACACACAUCUGCUCGAGCUUUAG
rnacentral:misc_RNA from 1 species